GUCUAGGGCCAUGCUACCUUGAACAAGCCCGAUCCUGUCUGAGCUCGGAAGCUGAGCAGGGUGGGGCCUGGUUAGUAUUUGGAUGGGAGACCACGUAGGGAGACCAGGUGCUGUAGGUG
rnacentral:rRNA from 1 species